rnacentral:tRNA from 6 species
CGGGAAGUAGCUCAGCUUGGUAGAGCACUUGGUUUGGGACCAAGGGGUCGCAGGUUCGAAUCCUGUCUUCCCGAU